GACAGAGGGGCCGAGCGUUAGGCGGAAUCACUGGGCUUAAAGCGUGUGUAGGCGGAUCGUUAAGGACCUUGUGAAAUCCCACGGCUCAACCGUGGAACUGCUGGGUAUACUGGCGGUCUUGAGCCACCUAGGGGCGAGCGGAACAAGCGGUGGAGCGGUGAAAUGCGUAGAUAUCGCUUGGAACGCCAACGGUGAAAACAGCUCGCUGGGGGUGUGCUGACGCUGAGACACGAAAGCCAGGGGAGCGAACGGG
rnacentral:rRNA from 1 species